GGACCCCACCCCCGAGACAUCAUGUCAGGAUCAUAUGAUAGAUGUGAUCAGAAGGAAGCGACUGAGUCAGAUACAGUUGCGCAGCACCAGCCACACAGUCACUACAGAGGCCCACGAGGAAAAAGUGGAGAAGAAGAGGAACACCAAGGACCUAAACUCACCCAGUGACAGAGUCCUGAGAGUGUGCACAUACUCUGGCAGCAGCAGUGACACAGAGACAGAGUCUGAAGGGAACACGUAGGCUCCACCC